rnacentral:rRNA from 1 species
GCAUCGAUGAAAGAACGCAGCGAAAUGCGAUAACGUAGUGUGAAUUGCAGAAUUCAGUGAAUCAUCGAAUCUUUGAACGCACAUUGCGCCCCUUGGUAUUCCAUGGGGCAUGCCUGUUCGAGCGUCAUC